AUUCGAUACCAACUUUGCUUCCCCCAACCUUCUCUUCAUUUCUCGUUUCUGAUCCGUAACCCUAAUUAUCCACAAUCGCCGCUACUCAGAUCUUUCAGCUGCAAUCGGGCAAUUCCGUAUCUGGGUUUCACUAAAAAUCAAACCUUUUGAGCUCUUGUAAUCCGAAUCGAAGAGAAGAUGGUCGGUGGUGGAAACAGGAGAGACGAAGGAUCGAUGCCGAUUCAGAACACCAACUUGUUCGCGGCUUUGGAUACUCGGAGGAAGAAGAAGAAGUCCGACAAGAGCAAAGGACGUCAAGAUCCGGCGAAGGAGCCUGAGCCGCAGGUGUUCUGGGCGCCUACGCCUCUCAAGGCUAAGGCUUGGGCGGAUAUCGACAGCGACGAUGAAGAUGAUGACUAUUUCGCUACCACUGCUCCUCCUAAAGCCUUGUGGAGUACCUCCGAAUCGUCCCGUUCGGAUGCGAAAGAGGUUCCCGUUGAGGUUAGAAAGUCAAUUUCUUUCAUAUGAUGAUGUGUGUCCUGUGUAUGUUUAACCAGAAGCUUUAGAUUUCACUUGUUUUGUUUUUUGUUUUUUUUUUUAGUUUGCUGUUGAUUUACCUCAUAGCCUUUAUAGUUGACUGAUGAAUGAUUGAAAGUUUGCAUUUUUAUGUUGAAAAUGAAUCUUGUUUUGGCAUAAGCUACUUUGUAUUCUGAAGGUAUAUAUGAAAGUGUAAACCUUUGUUGUUAUAAAAUUUUCAUGAUAUGUUUGCGCCCCCUGGUUGUGUGCCUGUGGGUUUCUGAUUGAGAUGCGUUUGCUUUUUAAUGUGGCAGGAAAGUGAAAGUGAAGAGGACAUUCUUGACGAAGGCGAUGAUGAUGAUGAUUUGGAGGAAGAGCAUGAGACGCAAGUUCAUCCAGAAGCAGAGACUGAGGUGAAGAAGGCUCCUGAAGUUCCUGCACCACCCAAGGAACCAGAGAGGCAGCUUUCCAAGAAAGAGCUGAAACAGAAGGAACAAGCUGAGUUUGACGCUUUGUUAGCGGAUUUUGGAGUUGCACCCAUCAAUGGUCAAGGAAACUCUCAAGGUAUCUAUCACACAGUUCUGCUCUACACUGGCUUAUUAUUAUUAUAUGCUGAGAAAAUCAUUUGUUAAUACUGAUACCUAACAGAUAAGCAAGAGAAGAAGGAAGCCAAUGGAGAGGGAGAGAAGAAGGAGAACGCAGCCAGAGAAUCAAAGGCCUCGAAGAAGAAGAAAAAGAAGAACAAACAGAAGGAAGUUAAAGAAUCUCAGGAUGAAAUGAAGAGCAACUCAGAUGCUCCUGCAGAUGAGCAAGGGGGGGAGGAGGAGGGUUCUUCGUCCAUGGAUAUCAAAGAACGGCUCAAGAAGAUUGCAUCAAUGAAGAAGAAGAAAUCAAGCAAAGAGACGGAUGGUGGUGCAAAAGUUGCGGCACAAGAAGCAGCAGCGAGGAAGGCAAAGCUGGCUGCGGAAAAGAAGAAGAAAGAGAAGAAUCACUACAAUCAGCAGCCAGUGAGGUGAAACCAAUCACCCACUAUCUCACCCGUUUUGAUAUAUGAACAUGUGUUUCUUCCCUCUUUUUGCAGGGUCAGUACUUUUAGAGAUAUGACUUUUGAUCUUUUGAUUUAUGUUGAAUACAAUGUGGGAACAUAGACAAGAUAAAAGCUUUUCUCUUUGAAUUUGGUUUACCCUUUCUUUCUAUCUAUUCUUCAUGUUCAUCUUCGUGCUUAGAAACACCCACUAUAAUUCAGAUUUUUGAACAAAACUUUUCAAAACCGAUUAUAAUAAACCAAUUUAUAACCAAAUCGAGUUAAACCAGAUCAAACCAAACGAAAUGAUUUAUAUCAGUAAUUUAGAUCAGUUAAAUUGAUUUAAACCGAUUCAAUAAAAUGGUUUAAUCAAACCUUUUGAGCUCUUGUAAUCCGAAUCGAAGAGAAGAUGGUCGGUGGUGGAAACAGGAGAGACGAAGGAUCGAUGCCGAUUCAGAACACCAACUUGUUCGCGGCUUUGGAUACUCGGAGGAAGAAGAAGAAGUCCGACAAGAGCAAAGGACGUCAAGAUCCGGCGAAGGAGCCUGAGCCGCAGGUGUUCUGGGCGCCUACGCCUCUCAAGGCUAAGG
rnacentral:lncRNA from 1 species